GACAUUUUAAAACAUUUUAUUACAAGAUAUCUAGUGUGUGCUUCAAUUGUUGGAUCACACUGAACACAGUAUCUAUGAACGCUUCUAUUUGAUUAGGGAGGAACCGGCCCGGACUUUUUCUACAAAGUAGCAAUAUCAUAUUUCAAGCUGGGGAACAGCAUUUGGCUCAGACCAUAUGUUCAUCUCUAUACAACUGAAGUCACCAAUAGCUUACAGACUCUCUCAGUAAUUUCUCCACGUCACAGUGUUGAAUGCAAGAUGGAUGAGAGUCAAGAUAUCUAAAGAAGGCUAAGGGGAAGAAUGGUUAGAUUAAAUUAGUUUUCCCCAAACUGUGAUGCGAGAUCUUCAGACAACUGCC
rnacentral:lncRNA from 1 species